rnacentral:lncRNA from 1 species
CGAAUCUACUACCAAUAGUAAAAAAAAUUCAUAUAUCCUUGAUACACCCUGGUUCCUGGUCUAGCUUCACUAUUAGAGUAAUUUGUCUAUGUUGGACUCGACUAUAUAUCUCUAGUGAAACCAUAUGGAUCCAGUAUCGGUUUCAAGGAAGAUAAGUUUGCAAUAUUUGAUCAAAUCCGUACCCAAGCAGAAUAUUUGUUGAAUUUCCACAAAACACGAGCAUGUGACUAAAGUCAUCAAUGGCUAUUAUGGCUCGCAUGAUCAAAGCAUCACAAUGAGGGUAGAUUAUUUCAUUCUUAUUGUCAAUAAUUUCAAUUAUAGGGGAUUCAGGUUUGAAUUACCUUGAAUCCAACAAUUUUUCGAUGCAAGCUUAAGUUUACCAUUCCUUUGUGAUUUCAUUGUCUUCUUUUUUCGUAUGAUGUCGGUUAAUAAUAAUGUUGAUUUCUUCUUUGAACUCUUCCUAUAUUCUCUUUGGAUCAAUAUCACCGUCUUCAUGAUAAUAGCUGGGAAUAUCAAUUUCAGAUUUCAGUGCUUCUAUUUUGACGAUAUCUAUGCUUGAUUCAUAUUUGGACAUUUUUAUCGAUGAUUUAAACCUUUUCAAAGAGAAAUUAUUGAGAUCAUAGUUGCCUUUGUUCUCUUUUUGCUCUAUACAAAUAAUUAGAGUUUGUAUUGAUUCUUGUAAUGUUGUUUACAGCAUUAUUAAUAGAGAAUUUUGUUGACCUCAUUUUUUGUACCGUUGAUGUGGACUAAUCGUUAGUUACGUGAGCCCUUCCUCAAUGAUAGGGGAGGCAGCACAUGCAUUCCAACUGUGAAAUCAGUCAAUGAGAUAUUUAUAUUUGGGUGUGGAAAGUGCUUUAGACGUGAGCCACAUAGGAGUUUGGGCACCAGGUUUGUGUAUGAGAGUAUGUAAAAAUCGAAGAGAAUAAUUUACAAAGCUUGUAUUAUUUAGUGUUGCAUUACCCUUUAAAUGGCAUGGGUUGUGAGCUUUUAUAUUAGUAGAGAUGAAGUGGUAGCAGUUGGAUGAGACGCACGUAACUUUAUCUCCUUAUUCAAGGCGUCCCAUCGUAUGCAUCAUAUCACACAUCCUAGGCCAUGCAUCAUUUAAUGUACUUUGAAACGGUAGCCACUCUAGGGCCUAGGCCUGAGUACGUAUGUAGUAGGUUGACAAAACUUGACUUUCUUCUGCUACAACAAGGGUCACAUUAAUCAUUCACAUAAGAUCUUUAUGUAGAAAUCUCUUGGGAAAAGUGAAAAUGAAAGAUGCUCAUUAUGGUUAGGAGGCUUCAACUUCGAUAAUGUGGGCUUCGACCACUUAUAUAGUGCUUCGCCUUUAGGGCUUUGGCUGAAGCGGUUGAUGACCUCUCUAUUGUUGUUUUAUAGUAGGUGGAGCCUCGCUUCAGCUGCCGAGCUUUUGCUUACACAUGGUGCUUUGGGGUUAGGUCCCAUUUGUCAUCUUUACCUAUGACUUCGGUUCAAUUUUUUAUGUCGUGAAGUGUAGGUUUCAUUUAAGCUUCUUCUUGAGCCUCGAUUUUGAGUUGUAGGCUUCUUUUUGAGCCUCAUUUUUGAAGCAUUCGUCCAAAUCUAUGUAUGAUUAUUUUUAAUGCAUGGACUUCUUAUUUUGAGAAGUAAUAGUAUGAUGUUACAUGUUCAUUGCUUAACUUGGUUUUAUCGCCUUUCGUGGAAUGCCUUUAAUAUUCGUAGAAACCUUAAUUUGUAUGUUGAGUUGUGCUGAAGAGAUUGAAGUAAUGCUUUAGUUUGGUUGAAAUUUGAUGUAGAGAGGCUCUGAAGUGUUGAAGUUGUUGGCUGAAAUUUGAUGCAGAGACGAGGCUCUAAAGUGUUGAAGUAAGGUAAGUGCUUUUUAAGGCCAUCUUUGAAGGUUUGAAUGUAAGCUCCUUUUUUUAAGCUUCCUCCAAUAGCGCUCACAUUUUCUUGCAUGGUGGAUGGUUUAUCCGUGCAGAGGCUUUUUCCAUGGUGUACAGCUUUAUCCAUGGGAGGCGCAUAAUGUUAACCUCGGAAAAUUUGGAGGUAGUCCCAUUUGGGAUCUACCUCUGCUUCGAGAUGCUCAACCUUUCCUACAUAAUGAAUGGUUUACCCAUGCAGAGGCUUCUUCCAUGAUGUUCACCUUCAUCCAUGGGAGACUUAUGAUGUCAACCUUGGCAAAUUUUAGGGCCAUCUCUUCUCCGAGGUGCUCGUACUUCCCUGCAAGGUAGAUGGUUCAUUCAUGCAGAGGCUUCUCCCAUGGUGUUCAGCUUCAUCCAUGGGAGGCUUAUGAUGUCAACCUUGGAGAAUUUGGGAAAAUAUCUUCUACCGGGUGCUUAUGCUUCCUUGCAUAGUAGAUGCUUCAUUCGUGAAGAGGCUUAUAUCAUGGUGUUCAACUUUAUCUAUAGGAGGUUCAUGCUAUUAACCUUGGAGAAUUUGGAAGUAGUCCCAUUUGGAAUCCACCUCUUUUCGAGGUGCUCAUGCUUCUCUACGUGGUGGAUAGUUCAUUCAUGUAGAGACUUCUCCUAUGAUGUUUAGCUUUAUCCAUGAGAGUGUUAUGAUGACAAUCUUGAAAAUUUUGAAUAUGACUCCCUGUAUUGUGGAUGGUUUAUCUUCAUCAAUGGGAGGCUUAUGAUGUCAACCUUGAAAACUUGUAAGUUGUCCCUUUUAGGAUUCACCUUUUUUCCAAAGUGCUCAUGCUUUCCUUCACCCGAAUGGUUCAUGCAUAUAGAGGCUUUUUCAAUGGUGUUUAGUUUCAUCCAUAGAAGGCAUAUGAUGUCAAACUUGGAGAAUUUGGAUCUACCUCUUCUCUGAGGUGCUCAUGUUUCCUUAUAUGGUAAAUGGUUCAUUCACACAAAGGCUUUUCCUAUAGUGUUCAGCUUCAUCCAUGGAAGGUUUAUGAUGUCAACCUUGGAGAUUUAGAGAAGGGUUCUUUUUGUGAGAUACUUCUCCAAAUUAGAUUGACUUCCUUGUAUAGGGUGGCUCAUUCAUGCCAAGGGCUUCCCCAUGGUGUAUGAUUCAUCCAUGUGACGUAACAUAUAGGCGAAAAUAAGGUUUUACAUUGUGAGCCUACUGUAGAAGUUCAUGCGUGUACAUAAGUUAAAUAUGAAAAUGACCUUCAAGUCCUUUAGUAAUUUCACGCCCGUCCCUCAACUUUUGACCUUGUACAUUUUGGUCCCCAUAUUUUUACUUCUAUUUCAAUCAUACUCUUGAUAAAUUGCAUUCAAAAUCUUUCAACUUUCAAAACAUCUACACUUCAACCCCCAAGCUCAUAUUUUUGUACUUUUAGUGCUUUUCUCUUCUUUUGCAUUGUUUUCCUUCAAUUUGGAAAUUUGUUACUUGUCACUUAACAGAGGCUCUGCAUGAGCA